ensembl:antisense
ACGAUUUGCCCAGCUUUCUAAGGAGGCGGAACUGGACAGAGCUCCUGGACCAGGCAAAUAGGAGCAAAGUUUUCGAGCGUGGGCCUAGAGAACGGCUUCGUGGCUAAGAAGAGUAUGCACUGCUCUUCUAGGGGACUUGAGGUUUAUUUCCAGCAACAACAUCAAGCUUCUCCCUGCUGUUUGUAACUCCUUUCUGAAUCCUCUCAACUCACAGAUACAUGUACAAACCCGCACAGGUCAUGAACACUAUUAAAAUU